GCGGCCUCGGCCCGCGCGGCCCCGCCUCACCGAACCCGCCCCCGACAGGACCCGCCCCCCAGGCCCGCGGAGCGGAGGUGCCCCCGGCCCAGAGGACCCCUCGCCCCACGUUGGCGAGCGCGCGUAUCCCCGGGCUGCGUGGCCUCAGUGGCGUCCGGCGUGCGUCCACGCGCGGCCCGACCAAGACCGGCGCCGACUGCCAGGCUAGGAGCACAGGCAAUCGUCAGGUCACCUUCAUCCUGACAGGGGUCACUCGUGACCCGCCCUGGCUUCAGAAACGCGCACAAUGAGGCUUCUGCAGAAACAGCUCAGUUCCCGCUGGCCUCGCAGCGCCCGCUCUGUCCGGCGGUGGUGGCCGUGGGUCCAGGUUCCGCCUGACGCCCGCCCCGCCCCUUGGCCCCGCCCACAGAGCCCGAAGCAGCAGGCCCGUCUGUACUCCCAGGACAUAAAGCAGAUCGACCUGGAUGGGAACCGUGCCUUCCGAAACCACAUCAUGUUCCGGGAGCGCUACGGCAUCAAGUCCAACACUAGCGACACUGUCCUGUCCUGUUUCCUGCGUUCACCACACACUUGACCAGCACAGGUGUUUUACAGAGAACCCAAGACGUCUGGCCUCACCCCGUCCCUAGGUUCUCAGUAUGCAUUUUAAAAACAGGGAUUCUUGGGCUUCCCUGGUGGC